GUGGGGAAUAUUGGACAAUGGGCGAAAGCCUGAUCCAGCCAUGCCGCGUGUGUGAAGAAGGUCUUCGGAUUGUAAAGCACUUUAAGUUGGGAGGAAGGGCAGUAAGUUAAUACCUUGCUGUUUUGACGUUACCGACAGAAUAAGCACCGGCUAACUUCGUGCCAGCAGCCGCGGUAAUACGAAGGGUGCAAGCGUUAAUCGGAAUUACUGGGCGUAAAGCGCGCGUAGGUGGUUUUGUAAGUUGGAGGUGAAAUCCCCGGGCUCAACCUGGGAACUGCCACCAAAACUGCAUGACUAGAGUACGGUAGAGGGUAGUGGAAUUUCCUGUGUAGCGGUGAAAUGCGUAGAUAUAGGAAGGAACACCAGUGGCGAAGGCGACUACCUGGACUGAUACUGACACUGAGGUGCGAAAGCGUGGGGAGCAAACAGGAUUAGAAACCCCGGUAGUCC
rnacentral:rRNA from 1 species